GGAAAUCUCUCUGGUAAUCCCUGCAUGCCUGUGGCCUUCUGAAGACAGGUACCCGGAAAUAAAGCAUUUGCUCUUUAACUCCCAGUACACUGCAUGAUGUUGUGAUAUGGAAUACUGAUAACCAAAAAUCAUGAAACCAUGACAUCUUCCCAGCCUGUGCUACUUUAUCCUGAGAAGAAGAAAAAACAAAACAGAAGAACAAAAUAAAACAAAAAAGACAAAAACUAACAAACAAACAAAAAACAUUGAAGCUGGUAAUGCAAUAAGACAAAUGAAGUACAUAAUUGUAUCAUCGAGGACUGAAAGGUAUAGGUGUUGAACCAGAAGCUCAAGAUGGUUCCCUCAAAUAUCUAUUAAUAUAUAAUGGAAAUCUGUGGUUUCUUGAUCUUGAGAUUUCCCACUGACAGAUCUGUCUGGGAGCAAGGCUUUCCCAUCACCCACUGUUUGUAGUCCACCAGGAUGCGCACUUCAACACAGUUGUGGUCAGCAGGCCAUCACACUGCCAAAUUGUGAAGCCAGAUCCCUGAAUGCCUUCACAACACAUAUUAAGAUUCUCAAAACAUGGGUUCUCUGCUGCUAGGAUGAAGCCAUGUUCCUUUAGCAGUUCUCACUGUUGGAAUGUUUGAAAAUACAACUCCUGAAAAUGCACAGAAAUCCUCUAAGAAAUUUAUGGCUUGUGGGUUUCUCUGUUUGAAGUUACUAUUACACCAUCUGAGAAUGUUUUGGUUCAUGGAAAGAACUGCGGAAAGAAAAGGUUUUGGCUAGUUUUGAAUAAAAAUUCUGUAUCAAAAUCAUAGACAACAAAGAUGGAAAGAAUAGAAUUUCUGAUAUUUUGGAGAAGUAAAAUAAUAUGUAUCUUUCAGAUAUGUAUUGUCAACUAUACUGAAAGUUAACUUUUUUUAUUAUUAUUUAUGAAAUGGGAAUAAUACCUGUUGUUGUUUUCUUGUUUGUUUUUUUCAAGGGUGCUUUAUGUAUUACAACAUCUUGUCUCUUCCCUUCUCUUAUAUGAAAACUUGCAUAACUUCAUCUUUAAUGACUUACAUUUAAUUAUCUAUUCAAAAUUAAAUGAAAUAAGGCUUAGUUAUAAAGCAGAGAAUAAUGUACUUUUCUAAAAUGUCUUAAUGACCUGUAAAGUUGGAUUUUUUAUACUGUGAAUGUUUUUGCAGGAAUGGUUUUCUUUACAAGUAUGGUAUUAUUAUAAAAUAUAAGCAAUUAAAUUUACAGGAAAUUGAUUUUUUAUUAUUGUUGUUGUUAUGGUUAUUAUUAUUGUCAGAGAUGUGUGUAAGAAGAUGAUUACACUAUGAAUUCUCACCCU
ensembl:lncRNA